rnacentral:rRNA from 1 species
CCGCGUGAGUGAUGAAGGCCUUAGGGUCGUAAAGCUCUUUCGCCUGUGAAGAUAAUGACUGUAGCAGGUAAAGAAACCCCGGCUAACUCCGUGCCAGCAGCCGCGGUAAUACGGAGGGGGUUAGCGUUGUUCGGAAUUACUGGGCGUAAAGCGCGCGUAGGCGGACUGGAAAGUUGGGGGUGAAAUCCCAGGGCUCAACCCUGGAACUGCCUCCAAAACUAUCAGUCUAGAGUUCGAGAGAGGUGAGUGGAAUUCCGAGUGUAGAGGUGAAAUUCGUAGAUAUUCGGAGGAACACCAGUGGCGAAGGCGGCUCACUGGCUCGAUACUGACGCUGAGGUGCGAAAGUGUGGGGAGCAAACAGGAUUAGAUACCCUGGUAGUCCACACCGUAAACGAUGAAUGCCAGUCGUCGGGUAGCAUGCUAUUCGGUGACACACCUAACGGAUUAAGCAUUCCGCCUGGGGAGUACGGUCGCAAGAUUAAAA